rnacentral:rRNA from 1 species
GAUGAACGCUGGCGGCGUGCCUAAUACAUGCAAGUCGAGCGAACAGAUGAGGAGCUUGCUCCUCUGACGUUAGCGGCGGACGGGUGAGUAACACGUGGAUAACCUACCUAUAAGACUGGGAUAACUUCGGGAAACCGGAGCUAAUACCGGAUAAUAUAUUGAACCGCAUGGUUCAAUAGUGAAAGACGGUUUUGCUGUCACUUAUAGAUGGAUCCGCGCCGCAUUAGCUAGUUGGUAAGGUAACGGCUUACCAAGGCAACGAUGCGUAGCCGACCUGAGAGGGUGAUCGGCCACACGGGAACUGAGACACGGUCCAGACUCCUACGGGAGGCAGCAGUAGGGAAUCUUCCGCAAUGGGGGAAAGCCUAAUGGAGCAACACCGCGUGAGUGAUGAAGGUCUUCGGAUCGUAAAACUCUGUUAUUAGGGAAGAACAAAUGUGUAAGUAACUAUGCACGUCUUGACGGUACCUAAUCAGAAAGCCACGGCUAACUACGUG